UACGGAGGGUGCAAGCGUUAUCCGGAUUCACUGGGUUUAAAGGGUGCGUAGGUGGGUUGGUAAGUCAGUGGUGAAAUCCCCGAGCUUAACUUGGGAACUGCCAUUGAUACUAUCAGUCUUGAAUACCGUGGAGGUCAGCGGAAUAUGUCAUGUAGCGGUGAAAUGCUUAGAUAUGACAUAGAACACCAAUUGCGAAGGCAGCUGGCUACACAUAUAUUGACACUGAGGCACGAAGGCGUGGGGAUCAAACAGG
rnacentral:rRNA from 1 species